CCCUCGUCGACGCGGCAGCUC
rnacentral:miRNA from 1 species